AAACUAGAUAUGUAAUUUUGUUUGAGUUACGAGUUGGUAUACAGAUGUUUCCUUUUUCGUAGGCUAGCAAUGUUACACUAAUUAAAAAGUGCUUACGCACGAGGAGGAUUUUAUUCAUGGAAAACGGAACAGUAAAAUGGUUUAACGCAGAAAAAGGUUUUGGUUUUAUCACUCGCGAAGACGGUAGCGAUGUAUUCGUACAUUUCUCUGCUAUCCAAGGCGACGGAUUUAAAACUAUUGAAGAAGGACAAGCAGUAACUUUUGACGUAGAAGAAAGCGAUCGCGGACCUCAAGCAACAAAUGUUGUUAAACAAUAAAAAUGUCAAAGCCUUAGAGAAUUUCUCUAAGGCUUUUUU
rnacentral:sRNA from 1 species